rnacentral:misc_RNA from 1 species
ACGGGUGGCCACGGGGUGCGG